GCUCAUCUCAUUUAAUAUAAAGCAAGCAGUGCUUAAUUCUAGAACAUCUCAAGUUCUGGACAAAGCCUCUUAUUUCAUCUAUCAAGUUCUUUAUGUGAGGAAAAAUACAAAAUCAGCCCAUUUUCAACAGGGGAUUUUAAGAGGCCCAACUCAAAAUCCUGCUAAAAAGGCUGGUGUUUGCUGCAAGCAAAGCUUUCUGCAGAGCCCCGUCAUUGUCCAUCUUUCAGCUCCCGUGGCACCUCUUUCAUACCUGAGCUGGGAACAGCUGCGGGAUGCCUACUUUAUCCUACACAGGUAAUACAGAAGAAAUAUUUAAGGUUUCCAGAAAAGACUGAUUUUAAAUAACAGACUCAAGGCUGCAGAAUAUGCUGCUAAAGGUUAGUUGCAAUAGAGCUUGCAACAAAUUCUCAAGGGAGUGCUCUGUAUUACCACAAAAUUUUUAAACAGUGAAUACUUCUGUGAUUGGUUAGCAGAUGUAUGAAUUAAAUGUGUGUUACAAAUGCAAA